rnacentral:rRNA from 1 species
AUUGAACGCUGGCGGAAUGCUUUACACAUGCAAGUCGAGCGGCAGCACGGGGGCAACCCUGGUGGCGAGCGGCGAACGGGUGAGUAAUACAUCGGAACAUGCCCAGUCGUGGGGGAUAACACUUCGAAAGAAGUGCUAAUACCGCAUACGUCCUGAGGGGGAGAGCGGGGGAUCGCAAGACCUCGCGCGAUUGGAGUGGCCGAUGUCAGAUUAGCUAGUUGGUGGGGUAAAGGCCUACCAAGGCAACGAUCUGUAGCUGGUCUGAGAGGAUGAUCAGCCACACUGGGACUGAGACACGGCCCAGACUCCUACGGGAGGCAGCAGUGGGGAAUUUUGGACAAUGGGGGCAACCCUGAUCCAGCCAUUCCGCGUGAGUGAAGAAGGCCUUCGGGUUGUAAAGCUCUUUCGGCAGGAACGAAACGGUGAGCUCUAACAUAGCUUGCUAAUGACGGUACCUGAAGAAGAAGCACCGGCUAACUACGUG